GAGGAAGUACUGUUGGAGGUUGGAGCAAGGAGAGCAGCUGUUAACAGGAAGGAACUUCUUAGAAGAGCCAGUCUCGAAGAUAUGGUGUAGACAAAGCCUGAAGCUGCACUCUUACUACAUUUGCAAGUUGAUGUCCAGUGUUCGGUGUUCUAUUUGUGGCUACACAAAUUGAGAAAUGUGAAAAACAUAUGAGUUUUCGCCAUGUUACUCAGGUUGCUCUUGAACUCCUGGGCUCAAGCGAUUCACCUGCCUUGUCCUCCUAAAGCCCUGGGAUUACAGAGCAUAUAUCAUUACAGACUAUAUGGGCAUCCGAAAUGAAAGUUUCAUGAAAUUAGCUGCAGUAGGGACCUGGAUGGGGGACUUUGUCACAGCUUGGAUGGUCACUGAUAUGAUGCUUCAGGACAAACCCUAUCCUGACUGGGGAAAAUCAGCAAGAGCUUUCUGGAAGAAAGGAAAUGUUAGGAUCACUUUAUUCUGGACAGUUCUUUUUACUCUGACGUCUGUGGUUGUACUUGUGAUUACAACGGACUGGAUCAGCUGGGACAAGCUGAAUCGGGGAUUUUUGCCCAGUGAUGAAGUUUCCAGAGCAUUCCUUGCUUCUUUUAUCUUGGUCUUUGACCUUCUUAUUGUGAUGCAGGACUGGGAAUUCCCACAUUUCAUGGGAGAUGUUGAUGUAAAUCUCCCUGGUUUGCACACCCC
rnacentral:sRNA from 1 species